GAUGAACGCUAGCGGGAGGCUUAAUACAUGCAAGUCGAACGGUAAGGUCAGAGCUUGCUCUGAUACACGAGUGGCGCACGGGUGAGUAACGCGUACAUAACCUACCCUUAAGUGGGGAAUAGCCCCGGGAAACUGGGAAUAAUACCCCAUAAUAUUACUUUAUUGAUUUUGAGGUAAUUAAAGCUACGGCGCUUAAGGAUGGAUGUGCGUCCCAUUAGAUUGUUGGUGAGGUAACGGCUCACCAAGUCGACGAUGGGUAGGGGGCGUGAGAGCGUGAUCCCCCACACGGGUACUGAGACACGGACCCGACUCCUACGGGAGGCAGCAGUAAGGAAUAUUGGACAAUGGGCGAAAGCCUGAUCCAGCCAUCCCGCGUGCAGGAUGACUGCCCUAUGGGUUGUAAACUGCUUUUAUAGAGGAAGAAACACCUGGAUUUAUCCGGGUUUGACGGUACUCUAUGAAUAAGCACCGGCUAACUCCG
rnacentral:rRNA from 1 species